AGCUUUGCGCAGUGGCAGUAUCGUAGCCAACGAGGUUUAUCCGAGGUGCGAUUAUUGCUAAUUGACAAAUAUUUCUGGUCUAGAAAAACACUGACCUUUGACAGACAUAUGUUU
rnacentral:snRNA from 1 species